rnacentral:rRNA from 1 species
CCUACGGGUGGCAGCAGUAGGGAAUAUUGCUCAAUGGAGGAAACCCUGCAGCAGCAACGCCGCGUGGAGGAUGAAGGUUUUCUGAUUUUAAACUCCUUUUUUUAGAGAGGAUAAUGACGGUAUCUAACGAAUAAUCACCGGCUAAAUCCAUGCCAGCAGCCGCGGUAAUACGGAGGGUGCAAGCGUUACUCGGAGUCACUGGGCGUAAAGAGCGCGUAGGCGGGAUAGCAAGUCAGAGGUGAAAUCCUAAGGCUCAACCAUAGAACUGCAUUUGAUACUGUUAGUCUAGAGUAUGGGAGCGGUAGGCGGAAUGUAUGGUGUAGGGGUAAAAUGCGUAGAGAUCAAGAGGAACACUCAUUGCGAAGGCGACCUGCUAGGCUACAACUGACGUUGAGGCGCGAAAGCGUGGGGAGCAAACAGGAUUAGAUACCCGGGUAGUC